ACGCCUCUCGAACAAAUUCCACAACACGUUGUUCAAAGUUCCCACGCAAUUGUAGCACCAAGGAAUUGAAUUCAAAGUCCAGGUCAAAUAUUUCAUAAUACAAUUGGGAUGUGCCAGGUGUUACCUGAUCUUUAGCAAGCUGCAUGAAACCCAGAACCUCAGCUACACAUCCUUCAAGUCAUCAGUUUCCAUGGCUUCGGUCGGUGGUGGUAGUCCGUCGCCUCUUCUCCAGUCUCCGCCACCAUCGGUUCACUAGGGACUCUGUUUCAGGGAGACAAACUUCUUCUCUUCGUCGCCUCCAUUGUUGGUAGGUGGCGAUCUUACAACCGUCAGAGCUCGGUGUUGUUGGAUGGGAGACAAGCUGUCGCGAUGCUGAAAGUGGCGUUGCUGGACAAUCAUGCAAGUCGUUCUGUAUAUCUGUUUUGAUGGUUCCGUGCAUAAGUGGACCAUUGGCUUUUAAAUACGUUGAUUUAUGACUAAACUCAUGGAGUAAAGCUGGAUCCAUAAGAUCUUUAACCACGGCUCUUAAAUCUUGUCACGCCCCGAUCCUCGAACGCGUGCACAUCCUUUCUACUUGGUCGAUUUAUGAAUUCGAUAUCCCAGGACUAUGUAUCGCCGACCCUUUCUUUUUAUUAAGCACAUGCAGAAGCAAUUAUAAAUCCUCAGACAAUAAAACAAUGGGAUAGGAAAGCAAGUCAUAUUUUUCAUAUUGAAAUUCACAACCACACUUUCAUUAACAGCACAACUCAUAGUAUAUUUACAAUACUAUUCACAACGUACUUGUCUCACACCUAUCUACACUAAGACAGGGUUUACAAAAGGGAUGGGAUCUCAGUCCACAUCCGGGUUAUACUCAAGAUCCCUUUUUGGAUCAUCUUCUUCUUCAAAAGUCUUUCUUCUCUUUAGGUUCCUCCUCCUCAGCUUCUCCUUAGGGUCCUGAAAUGGUUAUUCAAUAACCAAUGAGACCACGUCUUAGCGAGUCCUACCCCUUAAGACUCGAUUAGUAAGCCAAUACACUAUAGGCUGCCUAAACAUGACAGGAGUUGGAGGACUUACCUUGGCCUCAGAUUCCAUAUGCAUAUUAGUACAGUUCAAUAGGUAUUCAAACAAUUGCAUCACCGAUCGAAGCAUCGAUUAAAUUGACCUAGUCGAUUUCAUGUCAGUUGUAACCUUUCUAGGUCGUUCAUCCUACUUCAAGCAAUUCCUUAGAUUUAGUGGCUUUACGGUCCCACCCGACCCUCUCAAGAUCUACUAGCUUUACGGUCCCACCCGACCCUCUCAAGAUUUAGUGGCUUUAUGGUCCCACCCGACCCUCUCAAGAUUUAGUGGAUUUUCUGUCCCAACCGACCCUCUCAAGAUUUAGUGGCAUUCCGGUCUCACCCGACCCUCUCAAGAUCUAGUGGCUUUACGGUCCCACCUGACCCUCUCAAGAUUUAAUUUAGGAAUAAAUAUUAAAUUCACUCCUAAAUUACUUUAGGACCAAAUAAAGCUCAAAUAAAUAAACGGACUGCACCACGACAAUCAGCACGAAAUUCCGGUCACCGGCCAUCCCGGUUGAAUUUCCGGAAAAAUAAUUAAUUAAAUAAUUAAUUUCGAAAAUUAAAUAAAUAAUUAGAAAAAAAAUCCAAUUUAGGCCCGUAAUGCUGAAUUGGACGCCGAGACGAGCCUGUAAAAUUACCGAGACUCGUUCCAUAAAUAACAUGGCAUGUCUACUUGCUAAUGUCUAUUUCUAACCACCUAACAUGCAUCAUUAAGUCUCUAAUUUAAUUUAUCUAAACUAAUAUAACCACCUAAUUGUAUUUAACUAAAUCUAACCAACCUUAAGUAUAAUUAGCAAACUAAGAAAACUUUAGUGAGUAAGACUCACUUGACAAAAGGAGAUCGAAUCGCCACGACGGCGGCCGAAAUUGGACUUUUGACAACACUGGUGGGCUUGGACCGGGCCUUGACCUUGGCCCAACAAAUCUCAGCCCAAAUUGAGAUUUGUUACCGAAAUGGGCUGAACUUGACUGAAAUAACACUUGCUGGGCUUCUAGGGCCGCAGGACUUCAAAGGCUGGGCUGACUUGGGCCAAAACUUCUGCUGACUUGUGGGCUGAUUUUUACUUGGGCUGAAGACUCAAUGGGCUGCGGCAGCAAUUGAAGAUGUAAGCUGAAGUUUUCGUGGGCUGCUUCUGUCCAAACGUGGGCUGGGCUUGUGGCUUCGGUGGUCCAAGGAGCUGAUGACGUGCGGGUCGGUGAGGCGUGGAGCUGCUUCGAGGUUUCGGUGGGGUCUUCGCUGCUGGAGAAGACACGAACGCAGCUGUAGGAAUUUCAUUCGGUUGUCAACAAACCGCCGAGAUAUCACCGAAUUUGACCAACACGUGGACUGAUUUCGCGAGCGGACAACACGGCAGCUGCAGGGGGGAUAUCCCGUGGAUGCGGCUAAGGAAACCUCGUCCGAUGGAGGUGCGUUGACGACGAGUGGACGCGGCAGAGAUUGAAGACGCUGGGGCGGCGCUUGGCCGGAGAGGACACGCGGCACGGGGGUCAACAAGUCGAUUUUGUUGGACUCUUUCGUUGACUAGGCACGGGGAUUUUGCUGGAACGAGCUGGAGAAUUUUCGAGCAGCUGCUGGCGGGGAGAUCUCGUUCGGUGGGACUGCUGCAGGGAUCUUCGUUGGCCUUGCAGGGUUUCUUCAACGCUUCAGUAGCUUGGGUCUUCGUGGAGAAAUUGAUGACCGGUUGCUGUAGACGUGGCCAAAGCAGGAGGGAUACAGGCGUGCGGAUUGUUGGUGGGCGACAAGAGCUAGUGAAGCAGGGCGUUCGUGGAGCUGAGGAAGACACGCGGAGGAGGCUUUGCUGGGCUGGACUUCAACCGAAAGAAAUCGAGCAGAAGCUGAGACCGCAGAGUCCAAAUGAAAAGGAGCCGUGUGCGAGGAAGAAGAUAACAGAGAGGGUGGGCCAUCCUUGCCAAUUUUCCACAAGAAAUAUCUUCAACAAUCAAUCUAGGCCAAGCAUUAACCCUUGGCCUUCAUUAGGCCACACCAACAACUCUCACAACUUCUCAAUUGGUCAAUUUUGGGCUAGGGAGAGGAGAGUUACGAAUUUGCAAGCCAUCUCUUCCAAUUGGACCGUCACACCACUUGAUUUAAUCACAAUUUGCCUCAAUAAUUUCAAUUGGUCAUCCAUAGACCAUCUCAGUAUUUUUUUUCUCAUCUCUAAAUCCACUUUCCAUCUCUGUUUUGUAACCAAAAUUAAAUCUCCGACUUCAAUUGCACAAAAACGGCCAGGCGACGACUUUUUCCCAAAAAGUAUCAGUUGUCAGAAAAAUCUUCUGAGACUGAGUCGACACUUCUAGAAUUUAUUGUGACAUGGCUAAAACUUUAAUUUCUGAAAUCGGACUCGAUUCGACGGUUAAUUUCCAUUCGAUGCGUUUUUAGCAUGACCUAGACUACUGGGUAACUUUCAGAUAUUUUUAAGUGCAAAUGACCCGUGGUCGAUUUUCUUCGAACCACUAUGAACCCACUCGACUCAUUGGCGACUCUUGAUUGUCGUGAAAAUCUCAAGGAUUCAAAUAUGGACAUAGGGUACCAAAACGACAGUAAAAUUAUAUUAGUGUUGGUCGACGAGAAUUUUCCAAUUUAGUGGAGUCACCCACGAUCAGCCACUCAUCUCAGUCGACCAGACCUAUCUCCGGUCUUAAAUCGAUUUUUAACUGUGCCGCAAUGGCCUCUAAAGAUUAGCACGAUCAAGAAGCAGAUUCCUGGUCGAACUCUCAAGUCUAUUUGCCUUAAAAUUCCUAAUAAUUUUCCCAGAUAGUCUAGUUAUCUCAAGAAUGAUCAGUUCUGAGAAUAGCCCUAUAGACACGUCAAUGAAAUGCCCGAUUCAUUCAGAAGAAAACAGAAUUGAAAAUUUUGGAUGUCACAAUUCUUCCCCUCUUAUAAAAAUUUCGUCUUCGAAAUUUAAACCUUACAAGACUUGAUAAAAAAGGUGGGAGUACAAUUCUCUCAUUGACUCCUCAGUCUCCGAUGUUGAUCCUUCUGUACCGUGGUGUUACCAGACCACUUUGACCAACGGGAUGGUCUUUGUACGCAGAACUUGCUCUUUGCGAUCGACAAUUUGGACCGAUCUUUCAUCGUAUGAUACACGGUCAUCCACGUCCAAUUCCUCGAAAUUAAGCACGUGGGUCGGGUCAGGCUCGUACUUCCUUAACAUCGACACGUGAAAGACGUCAUGCACUUGCGCCAAUCUUGGCGGCAACGCUAGACGAUACGCUAAUGUCCCGAUUCUCUCAAGAAUCUCAAACGGACCUACGUACCUCGGACUCAAUUUGUCUUUCUUACCAAAGCGUGAAAUUCCCCUCAUUGGUGACACUUUUAGAAAAACGUGAUCACCAACUUGAAAUUCCAAAGACCCUCGACGCUUAUCUACAUAACUUUUCUGCUUGCUCUGUGCUGUCUUUAAUCUAUCUUUGAUCACUGCCACGGCAUCUACUGACUGCUGAACCAACUCUGGGCCUGUGAUUUUUCUUUCCCUGACCUCAUCCCAACACACUGGUGUUCUGCAUGCUCUUCCAUACAACGCUUCGAAUAGAGCAAUCUGAAUACUCUGUUGAUAACUGUUGUUGUAGGCGAAUUCUACCAGAUGAAGCUAAUCUUCCCAACUUCCCUUGAAGUCUAUAACACAUGCUCUCAGCAUGUCCUCGAGGGUCUGUAUUGUCCUCUCAGACUGGCCAUAUGUCUGAGGAUGAUAUGCUGUACUGUACUGAAGUUUAGUACCAAGAGCACUUUGCAAGCUCUUCCAAAAAGUAGCAAUAAAUCUUGGGUCUCUAUCAGAUGUUAUCGUAACCGGCACUCCAUGCAUUCGAACCACUUGGCGCACAUAUAGGUCUGCAUGCCUAUCCAAACUGAGGUCCUUUCGAACUGCAAUAAAGUGAGCCGACUUCGUCAGCCUGUCGACUACCACCCAAAUUGAAUUAUUUCCUCUUUGACUCCUCGGUAGUCCAGUCACAAAGUCCAUCGUGAUAUGUUCCCAUUUCCACCCUGAGAUCGCAAGAGGUUGCAGAAGUCCUCCCGGCUUGCAAUGCUGAGAUUUUACUUGUUGACAUGUCAAACACUUGGCCACAUGUUUGGCGAUAUCUGCCUUCACACCUGACCACCAAUAGUGUUGAUGCAAAUUCUGAUACAUCUUAGUGCUUCCAGGAUGAAUGAUGUAACUGCUACGAUGUGCUCAGAUAAANNNNNNNNNNNNNNNNNNNNNNNNNNNNNNNNNNNNNNNNNNNNNNNNNNNNNNNNNNNNNNNNNNNNNNNNNNNNNNNNNNNNNNNNNNNNNNNNNNNNCUUGGCAUUGGUAGUUAAGUAGGCAACUCAUACUUUUCCUUCUUUAAUUUCUCUUCCUCAGUCACACACUUAGUAAUCAAGGCAUUAACACUCCAUGUCUCAUUCUGAGCAUUAUAAGCAGUCUUAAUCUGGCUAAAUUCAGCUGGCAAAUAUUUAUGGCUUGGUGCACAAUAUAAUUUUCAGAAAGAACAAUUUCAUGGGCCUUAAGUUUGGACUGAAUAUGGACCAUCUUCAGUAUAAAUUCUCUAACACCCAUAGCAGCAUCAUACUGGCAAACCACUAAUCAAAUGCUUAGCAAUAGACCUCUUCAUAGCAAUGAAACUCAGUCGAUUAGAUUUUUCCCAUCUAGCAUAAUGGGCCUUUUGAUCUAUAGUACUUUGAUCAUUGGGCCUAGCAGGUUCAUCCUCACGUAGAGCCAAGUCCAUAUCAACGAUGCCCAAAACAAAUUCUAUAUCUUGCUUCUAUCUCUUAAAGUUUGAUCCAGUUAACAUUUCAAUUGUGGCAUUGUUAUUAUUUACAACAAAAAUAACUUUUUGUCACACAUAAUGCAAUAAGAUCAAUUAUGGGCAAUAAGUAUUUUAACAAAAAUAAUUAGUACAUUAUAAACUCCCCUUUGGGCAGAGUGUAUAAUGCACCAUUAUUUUUCACAGUAUGAAGUUUAUAAAGCAACAAUAAGGAGAAUUACAUAUAAUUGUCAAUGAUCCAUCCCCUUUGGGCAGACAAAUCAUUUAAAUUAUACAUCUCCAUGAUAUCAAUAUAUAGAGAUGAUAAAAGAGAAUUACAUAUAAUUUUCAAGGUUCAAUCCUCUUUGGGCAGACAAAUCCUUUAAAUUAUAUAUAUUUCCAUUAUCUCAACAUAGAGGGGAAUUACACAUAACUCUAAAAAAAUUUAUCCCCUUUAGGCAGAUAAACCUUUUGAGUCACACAUCCCCAUCAUUCAUCUCUAAUAUAUCAAUAUAGAGGGGAAUUACAUAUACCUUUCAAAACAUUUAUCCCCUUUGGGCAGAUAAAUAUUUUUCAAUUAUACAUCCCCAUCUUUUAAAUAUGGGAAUAAACUUCAUGCUAUUUUUCCAAAUUAAUAUACACAAUAACUCCCUUUGGGCGAGUAAUUGUAUAUAUUAAUCUUUUAUCAAUAGGGAACUCCAAAAUUUAUGCCCAAAAUUCAUCAAACAAUAUGAAACACUUUACAACAUGUGCUUCCAAUGAUCAUAUUGCACUUUUUCAAACAAAAAUUUAUUGCCGCAAUUUUUUUUUAAUUUUUUUUAAUAUUAUUUUUUUAUUAUUAUAUUAUUUAAAUAUUUCGGACUUCCCGCGGGCCUAGGAGACCCGCGAGCAGCCCUAAUCAGACCGCGGGCCAAACCCGCGAGUCUUAAACCCUCAUGCGGCCCACUCCUUUUAAAUAGAAAAUGGCCCCAUGUAUGGAGAAGCCCAUCUCCCCUUUAAUUUAAAAUUGGCCCAUGAAAUGGGCUACAAAUUUUUUAAAAAAAUAUGGGCUGAAGCCCAUAUUCAGGCCUAAGCCUGGCUGGAGGUCUUCUUCAACAUCCAGCCGGGUCACGAAUUUGCAGAAAAACGGGUCAUACGACCCGGUUUCGACCCGAAGCUCCGAAGGCACAAAUUAACAUGGUUUUUGAUAAAAUUUCCUCAUGGGUUUUGAUUAUAACAUCAAUUUAAUUAACUGGAUUUAAUUAAACUAAGAAAGAUCAACUAAAUCCACCACAUGCAAGCUUCAAAGUUUCGGAUCUAAACCUCUCAUGGCCGAAAAUUCGGUUUUCUUAAAUUUAAGCCCUAAAAACUCAAUUUAAUACAACAAAAGAUACUAAAACAAAUAUAUAACAAUACCCAUACAACAAUUUGCAUCGAACAUCAAUCAAUUGCAAGUAAUUUGCAAAUUCUAGAACUUUUUCAUGUAUAAACCCUAGAAUUUCAAAUCUAAAAUUCUCUCUCAAUUCUCAACGAAAUUAUGCAAAUUAUAUAUGGUUGGAAAGAUCUCAACAUGUAGAAUAAAAGCCCUAUGGUUAUAUGAUUAAUCAAGCAAAAAAUCUACACGAAAAAAUAAUGCCCAUAUUCGGCUCAAAGAGUAGGGUUUCGAAUUUUUCCAUAACAAGAGAAAAUUUGGGUUCUACAAUCAUAUACGAUAAGCUCUGAUACCACAUGUAAAAUAUUAUUUAAUCAAUUAAGAACAAACGGAUCCAUAUAUGAUUGUAAAACACCAAGAUCAAUAAAUUCAGCGGAAUUAAAGCGUACCUGUUUGAGCCAUUGCUUUACUUGAAGAAAACUAGAUCACUCUGAUAAUCAGGGAUCUAUUGGAAUACCAGAUCUUCCUCUCUAUGUCCUAUUUCGAUAUAGCAGCUUUCAAUGGGAUUAAAGCAACUGAUAGGUAUAACCUACCCUUUUAUAGGCUAGAGAGGGGACCUAGCAAACCCUAAUCAACAGCGUGUCAACUGGGCCCUUCCCAUUACGGGCUUCAGUCAAACACAAUUGCCUACACUUUGCUGCUCAACUAGGCCCGUUAAUAAUAGAUGCCAAUACCCAAUUCAAUCAGAUCACUUUAGGGUUUAACAAAUAUUGGAAUAUCCAUUAACCCGAUUAUUUAAAAUAGAAAAUCAAUUAAUUAAUGUAAGCUCAUAUUAUAGGAAAUUUCUAACAGAAUUCACUACCNNNNNNNNNNNNNNNNNNNNNNNNNNNNNNNNNNNNNNNNNNNNNNNNNNNNNNNNNNNNNNNNNNNNNNNNNNNNNNNNNNNNNNNNNNNNNNNNNNNNAAGUUCCCACGCAAUUGUAGAACCAAGGAAUUGAAUUAAAAGUCCAGGUCAAAUAUUACAUAAUACAAUUGGGAUGUGCCAGGUGUUACCUGAUCUUCAGCAAGCUGCAUGAAACCCAGAACCUCAGCUACACAUCCUUCAAGUCAUCAGUUUCCAUGGCCUCGGUCGGCGGUGGUAGUCCGUCGCCUCUUCUCCAGUCUCCGCCACCAUCGGUUCGCUAGGGACUCUGUUUCAGGGAGACAAACUUCUUCUCUUCGUCGCCUCCGUCGUUGGUAGGUGGCGAUCUUACAGCCGUCAGAGCUCGGUGUUGUUGGAUGGGAGACAAGCUGUCGCGAUGCUGAAAGUGGCGUUGCUGGACAAUCAUGCAAGUCGUU
rnacentral:lncRNA from 1 species